AGCGUAGGCGGAUUUUUAAGUGGGAUGUGAAAUACUCGGGCUCAACCUGAGUGCUGCAUUCCAAACUGGAAGUCUAGAGUACAGGAGGGGAAAGUGGAAUUCCUAGUGUAGCGGUGAAAUGCGUAGAGAUUAGGAAGAACACCAGUGGCGAAGGCGACUUUCUGGACUGUAACUGACGCUGAGGCUCGAAAGCGUGGGGAGCAAACAGGAUUAGAUACCCCCGUA
rnacentral:rRNA from 1 species